rnacentral:rRNA from 1 species
UAGGGAAUCUUCCACAAUGGACGCAAGUCUGAUGGAGCAACGCCGCGUGAGUGAAGAAGGUCUUCGGAUCGUAAAACUCUGUUGUUAGAGAAGAACACGAGUGAGAGUAACUGUUCAUUCGAUGACGGUAUCUAACCAGCAAGUCACGGCUAACUACGUGCCAGCAGCCGCGGUAAUACGUAGGUGGCAAGCGUUGUCCGGAUUUAUUGGGCGUAAAGGGAACGCAGGCGGUCUUUUAAGUCUGAUGUGAAAGCCUUCGGCUUAACCGGAGUAGUGCAUUGGAAACUGGAAGACUUGAGUGCAGAGGAGGAGAGUGGAACUCCAUGUGUAGCGGUGAAAUGCGUAGAUAUAUGGAAGAACACCAGUGGCGAAAGCGGCUCUCUGGUCUGUAACUGACGCUGAGGUUCGAAAGCGUGGGUAGCAAACAGGAUUAGAUACCCUGGUAGUCCACGCCGUAAACGAUGAAUGCUAGGUGUUGGAGGGUUUCCACCCUUCAGUGCCGCAGCUAACGCAAUAAGCAUUCCGCCUGGGGAGUACGACCGCAAGGUUG